UACGUAGGGGCGAGCGUUGUCCGGAAUUAUUGGGCGUAAAGAGCUCGUAGGCGGUAUGUCGCGUCUGCUGUGAAAAGACCGGGGGCUUAACUUCGGUUUUGCAGUGGAUACGGGCAUGCUUGAGGUAGGUAGGGGAGACUGGAAUUCCUGGUGUAGCGGUGAAAUGCGCAGAUAUCAGGAGGAACACCGGUGGCGAAGGCGGGUCUCUGGGCCUUACCUGACGCUGAGGAGCGAAAGCAUGGGUAGCUAACAGGAUUAGAUACCCCCCGUAGUCCCUGA
rnacentral:rRNA from 1 species